rnacentral:rRNA from 1 species
GACGAACGCUGGCGGCGUGCUUAACACAUGCAGGUCGAACGGAAAGGCCCUGCUUUUGUGGGGUGCUCGAGUGGCGAACGGGUGAGUAACACGUGAGUAACCUGCCCUUGACUUUGGGAUAACUUCAGGAAACUGGGGCUAAUACCGGAUAGGAGCUCCUGCUGCAUGGUGGGGGUUGGAAAGUUUCGGCGGUUGGGGAUGGACUCGCGGCUUAUCAGCUUGUUGGUGGGGUAGUGGCUUACCAAGGCUUUGACGGGUAGCCGGCCUGAGAGGGUGACCGGCCACAUUGGGACUGAGAUACGGCACAGACUCCUACGGGAGGCAGCAGUGGGGAAUAUUGCACAAUGGGCGGAAGCCUGAUGCAGCAACGCCGCGUGCGGGAUGACGGCCUUCGGGUUGUAAACCGCUUUCGCCUGUGACGAAGCGUGAGUGACGGUAAUGGGUAAAGAAGCACCGGCUAACUACGUG